UCAUUCAUGUCAAAGCACUUGAGUGAGUCAAACAAACCAUUUGUUUCCUAUAAUAUCAUUUGAGUAUUAAAACGAACCGAAUUUUUUAAAAUUCUAAAUAAUGUCGCCGAUGUCAGCAAUGGGUCAAUACUCUCUAUGCUGUGGAUUAUCGAAAAUAUUGAUAUAGGAGAUUGUUAUCAGAACCAUAACUUGUGCUUCACCGCUAACAAAUAUCAUUCUUAUCAAUUGUGGCUGAUAACUCGAAAACAAUAACUAUAAAAGCCAUAGCCAAAUUGGCAAUGAAUAUCACAGAAUAUUCAGAGCUCCAAAAUGCAUGCAAAAUUGUUUUUCUUAUUGAUAGUCACUGCUAUCGUUUGCACUUCAGCCGAAGAAACACCCGCCCAGAAAGAUCGUGAUUGUAUACAAAUUGGUAACAAAGAUGGCCGCGAUUUCACUGAGCAUCGAUGCCCUUUGAAAUGGUAUGUCGCUGGCCUGCAAUUUGUUGGACAUCAGAAUGGAGAAUCGGCGUAUCUUAUUACAUGUUGUCAAGAUGUAUAAUGGAUAAAAACCAAAUUGUUUUUUUUUGUUAUUAAGAAAGAUAAAGUGAAGUAAAAUUCAAAACCAAACCAAAGAAUUAAAGUGACACCAUGAUAUAUGAUCAGUUUGAUCAUGGAUAAUCGAGUAAUCGAUUAGAUUCUGCAAGAAUGUUUAUACAUUUGAAUAGCAGGCUUACUUUUUUUCCAUAGUAUUAAUUUAUUUGUUAAUUUUUUAAAAAUGUAUUUUGAAAUGAGUUUUAAACAAUUACGUCAUAACGUCAACGAUUUGUCAAAAGAUUAUUAUCGCAAUUGAUCGAAUUAUCAAUUGAAUUAUGGUUCUUCUGACGUAUUGCAACUUGUUGAAUUGCUAGAGCGAUUUUUUUGGAAGUCAAUUUUUUCAGAAUGGAAUCUAAAAGCCUCUUUUUGCUAAGAUUUUUCGAUUUGCUAUUGAUUUUUUUCCACAAUCACCGCAAUUUUGUCAUCAUUCACACUAUUGUGACUUCAAAAGCUUUGGUUAAAAAAAUCCACAUUUCUACAAAAAAUUAAUUCCCUACACAUUAUUUCUAUCAUCCCCUUCGCUCAAUAAAAAUUACUCUAGGUGAAAUGAUUAUUAAACGGCUCUGAAUUGUAAUUAUCCCGACUAUCACGUGUUCCAUUAAACUCAUAUAUUUUCAGUUAAACUGAACAUUUCAAAAAUUAAA